UACGGAGGGUGCAAGCGUUAAUCGGAAUUACUGGGCGUAAAGCGUACGUAGGCGGUUAUUUAAGUCAGAUGUGAAAGCCCCGGGCUUAACUUGGGAACUGCAUUUGAAACUGGGUAACUAGAGUUUAGUAGAGGGGAGUGGAAUUUCAGGUGUAGCGGUGAAAUGCGUAGAGAUCUGAAGGAGCACCAGUGGCGAAGGCGACUCCCUGGACUAAAACUGACGCUGAGGUACGAAAGCGUGGGUAGCAAACAGGAUUAGAAACCCUAGUAGUCC
rnacentral:rRNA from 1 species